rnacentral:misc_RNA from 1 species
AAGUCGUAACAAGGUUUCCGUAGGUGAACCUGCGGAAGGAUCAUUAAAGAAUAUCGAGCUUCACAGCUCUUAUUCUCACCCUUCGUAUAAUCAAUCUUUGUUUGCUUGGCAGCUGCGUUCAGGCCUGCAGACGGAACCCGAACCUAGAAUCUCUGCCGUCUGAGUACUAUAUAAUAGUUAAAA